rnacentral:lncRNA from 1 species
CGCCUCCCAGGUUCAGGUGUUCCACGGCACAGCAGGGGAGACAGAUUUUGUAGAAGAGGUCAAGGUGAGGAUGGCGCCUCAACAGAAUCUUCAAAACCAAAAGGCAAGUUGCGGUACCCGCUGACCCUCCGCCAUGCAGAGACUGCCGCGGACGCCGAAACACCCUCCUCCCCGUCAGGCUGGCUUGUCCCCGGGCAUCUGAACGAGCCAACCUGACAGGAUGGGUGCUCAGCGGAGGACACUCUCUGAGAAGCCUGAGAUGAUGGGGAAACCCACUCUCUAGGGCUGGCUUCCAGCGCAGCUGUUUGGAGAAAGAGCUACCCUGGAGAACCUUAGUCACUGCUACAGUGGUAGAGAAGACGGAGCACAGGA